AUCACACACAGGUAGUCGGUUUACUGAGGGAAGGCUUGCCUGAUGAGAAAGAUCUUUGCCUGCUUGUGGAACGCAAAAAAGAGGGAGAAAAUGAGCUAGUAGUUCAUGACACACUGAAUUUAAUAUGUCUUAAAGAUUUAGAACUUAUUGGUUUCACUACAGGAACCUCGCACACUGGCCUCUCUGAAAACUGUUUGAAUGGAAAAAGUACAUGAUUAUAUCUAACAGAAAGGAACAUUUCAUUACGUAUCACUCCAAAUCACAUAUAACUGGAUAGAAAGAGGACUCUGUUAGUCAUUCGGAAGGUAUCCAAGAGAAUCUGAGCACUAACAUGUUGACUGGGAAUUCAGAAACUAGAUCUCAGCUUCUUGAAUAGAUCAUUACAAGCAACCCUCAUGCCCUGCUCAUUUAAUCAGAGUUUCAAAAGUUAUUUUGGAAGAAUCUCUCUCUGAAUCUUCUAGCUAACAUGCUGAUUAGAGAAUUCUACAACCUAUAGCAUGAAAAAGUGACUUUUCCAAGCUCUGCUUCAUAUUUCUAUAGGAUUGCCGGACAUAAACAGCUCCCCGGAUUGAAGAAUGAAGGAAAACUUACUUAAAUUUCUGGCUUGUGAAGUUCUUUUCGUACCUGGAUAUUUCUCAAUAACUUUCUUGUCCAUUUUUCUGUCUAUUUUACUUUUCUCUUCUGUUUUCUUUCUUUCUUUUUUUGAGGGGGAGGGAUAAAGAGUAUGCUGGCUUCAAGUGUAACAGCUUAAACGGUGGCAAGACUCAGGAGCACCUACCUACUGGGAGUUUCAUCCAUUACUGAAGGACUGCACUGACAUCAGCGGUGACUUCAUAAUGCAGGGCUUUCAAGAGUCUAGGAUGAUGUCACAGUGCAGAGUUAGGACAAGGCAAAUAUGGUAACAUCCCCAUGCGAAACAAGUGAGACCAGAGAAGCCCAGGAAACUUUCUCCACUUGCUUGCUGUGUCCUGUUCAGCUCUCCAAGUCAAGAGUAACCCACUUAGUAGGCCUUAGACAUGGAGGGUACACUUGCCUGUGGAAGUGAAACUGGAUCACAUAUUCCACGAAAAGAGACCUUGUUCCCACCCACCUCCAGAAAUGCUUUGGAAGAUUCAUACCUUAUUGCAUGCAACAUAUAAGCAAAGGUGAGCCAGCCAACCUUCUGCCUGAGCCUACAUGCAGUACCACUCAGCCCUAUGAUCCACUCACAAAAUAAGAAGCAGGUUCAGCAGGUGGCUUAAAAUGAGAAAACAUUUCCCCCAUAUCUUUGUCAUUGUCACCCAGCAUCAAACCAACACUUUAACUUACCAAAAAGGAUAACGCAUCCAACCUAGCUUUUUAAAAUGUGUGAUUCUUGGAACAAUCACACAAGCCAAUUAGCUGAAUGAUAAACAAGUAUUGGAUUAAAAGACUGGUUGUUUUGUUCUUUCAGAUUCACUUUUAAAGUAUUUUAGUAAAAAAGAGCAAAUGUAAAUGCAUCACACAUUUAUAUUCCAACAUGUACUCACUCUUUGAAUGAUUAAAGUAUAAAUAUAUAUUGGAACGAAGUCACCUUGUUACACAUUUGAUAAGAAACAUAAUAGUAAUUACAGAUAAAUUAUGAAUUUUUGUAGCACCACUACAUAAAACAGUUGUCCAAGGUCCACCAGGAGUGUUUUCUCUCUCAUUUCUUUCUCAGUUUGUUAAAACUGUCCCUUAUUCCUCCCGUAAAUAUGGGCUCAUUGAACUCCGCCUG
ensembl:lncRNA